GCCCUUUCCGGUGGAGGACCCUUCCCCCUGGGUUGAUCUUGAGGAACUUAAGAGACGGUGUUUUGACUCGACUCCUUUCCCCUUUUUCCUCCCGGUACCAAAGCGGUUUUGUUUGCUGUUUAUACUCUACCCCGUGGAAAGGCGGCUAGCUGGCUAAAGGGUUUUAUGCCUGGGGGAGGAUGAGUCGCUAUUUGGUCGUGACUUGUUUCUGUUUAAAAUUAUUAUUAUUUACCAAAUGAAAAUGUUGUACUUACCAGUCCAAAGUGCGGGGCUUAUAUUGUUAGAAGACCACUUAAAAUGCUCCUGGAUUCUGACAAAUAUUGCAUGAGAAAUUUGCAAUCAGCCGUGAAGCAUGUUUCCCCUUCUGAAAGUUUAACACGUGCCGUAUCUACGGCUGGGAUCUAACACAUCCCAUUCCUACAGGUUUUCUACAGGUUCGGGACUACACUGUUUAAUAUAUAACCCCAACCCUUGGUACCGCACUGACCUUCAGUAUUUGGUUGCUGAAAUCUUCAAUGAUGAAAGGGCUGAGAUCCAGACCUUCUUAGAGAGAACACAGCCAGUGGAGAGUCACUCUAUGGCAGGAAAUAUUCUGUAUUGCCUUACAGGCAGAACUUGCUGAAACUCCAACCUCUGGAAAUUACUGGAACCCUGCAUUCUAGAACUUGCUGGAAACCCACCCUCUGGAAUUGGCCUGCUAGAGUGCCUGAGAAGGAUGUUCAUAGGGAAAUGUUUCAGCAGAGGAACUCUACUACAAAAACCACAAGAGGGAGGGUGCCAGGGGAAGUGGCCUGGUGCUAUUGAAACUGCAACACAGAAGCCAGCCACUGGAGAGAGCUGCACAAGCUGCAGGAACACCCUACCCAGUAAGCCGGCCAGAAGGAGGGAGCAAAACCUUUUCUCUCUGCAACAUCUUUCCAGUUUCCUCUACUGGAAAAGCUUCAUUGCCAGCUGACAAAAGGAAAAAUACUUAAAUGGAUCAGAUCCAUUUUCACAGAGCAGUCAAUAAUGGUGAAUUUGGAGAUGAUAAGCAACAAAUUGAUGAACUGGCACAACUUCCCUGCUACUUUCUUGAUUGUAAUGCCUAGAUAGGGAAUAGGAAAGUUAUUGAAAUGUAUGUGUUCCCAUGAAAUGUGUUUAUUUGUUGUUCAAGAUCAAUACUAAUAAAUGGGGACUAAUGUUCU
rnacentral:lncRNA from 1 species